GCGGGCGUGGCGGAAUGGCAGACGCGCCAGACUUAGGAUCUGGUGCCUAUGGCGUAAGAGUUCGAGUCUCUUCGCCCGCA
rnacentral:tRNA from 3 species